GUGCUCGCUUUGGCAGCACAUAUACUAAAAUUGGAAUGAUACAGAGAAGAUACAUGGCCCCUGCGCAAGGAUGACACAAAUUCGUGAAGCAUUCCAUUUUUUU
rnacentral:snRNA from 1 species